AUGCUAGCAGCUACUAACUUUUAUUCUCUGCAGAGACGCUUUGCUAGUGAUCAGACCAGGAAGGCGUACACAGCAUUGAACGAGCAGUUCGAUGCGUACACCGGGGUCAUCUGGCAGCCCUACACGGAAGCAGCCAUACAAGCGAGAUACCCUGCUGGUAUGUCUGUGCUAUGCACAAGGGACCGAGAUUACUGGAUGGCAAAAUCGAAGAUCAUCUUCGAUGUCUUCGUCGAGGAGAUGGCACAACAGAGGGUUAUGAGGCAAUUUGGUCUUCUGCAGUUGGAGCUACCUCCCCCUAUAGAGAACCCGGUGCCAGCACACAUCCAUAGGUAUUAA
rnacentral:rRNA from 1 species